rnacentral:rRNA from 1 species
UGCGGAGACAUUACCUAGAGUUGUAGGCUUUGCCUGCUAUCUCUUACCCAUGUCUUUUGAGUAUAAAGUUUCCUCGGCGGGUCCGCCCGCCGAUUGGACAAUUUAAACCAUUUGCAGUUGCAAUCAGCGUCUGAAAAAACUUAAUAGUUACAACUUUCAACAACGGAUCUCUUGGUUCUGGCAUCGAUGAAGAACGCAGCGAAAUGCGAUAAGUAGUGUGAAUUGCAGAAUUCAGUGAAUCAUCGAAUCUUUGAACGCACAUUGCGCCCCUUGGUAUUCCAUGGGGCAUGCCUGUUCGAGCGUCAUUUGUACCUUCAAGCUCUGCUUGGUGUUGGGUGUUUGUCUCGCCUCUGCGCGUAGACUCGCCUCAAAACAAUUGGCAGCCGGCGUAUUGAUUUCGGAGCGCAGUACAUCUCGCGCUUUGCACUCAUAACGACGACGUCCAAAAGUACAUUUUUACACUCUUGACCUCGGAUCAGGUAGGGAUACCCGCUGAACUUAAG